UCAAUGCAAAACAUACCCAGAUAGGAGCGAAGGGAACCGUAGUGUAAAUAGCGACAUAUUCAAACCUCUCGCGCUCUCCUUUCCUCUGUCUCCUUACAUACCAACACUAGCCUAGCUCUCUUUUUCUCUCUGUCUCUCACACAUACUCUUUAUAAACAGUAUAUAUUUAUAUAUUUGUACAUAUAAUACCGUUAUAAAUAUAAAUAUUCACGCGACUGCUAUACCAUAUUUCCAUCUAGAACAACUUCUACUCUUGGGUAAGAUGGCAACGUUGACGAACGGACAGGCUGACAACCCGAGCCUUAGCAGCAGCCACAGCAGUGCUAACACCAACGGGCACAUGAAUGGAUUAAGCCACAGUCCCGGGAAUCCCUCCACCAUCCCGAUGAAGGACCACGAUGCCAUCAAGCUUUUCAUCGGACAGAUCCCGCGCAACCUGGACGAGAAGGACCUCAAGCCCCUGUUCGAGGAAUUCGGCAAGAUCUACGAGCUGACCGUACUAAAGGACAGGUUCACCGGCAUGCACAAAGGCUGCGCCUUCCUCACAUACUGCGCCAGAGAGUCGGCCCUGAAAGCUCAGAGCGCCCUGCACGAGCAGAAGACUUUGCCAGGGAUGAACAGGCCCAUCCAGGUGAAGCCAGCCGACAGUGAAAGCCGAGGAGAAGACAGAAAACUGUUUGUGGGCAUGCUCAAUAAGCAGCAGUCAGAGGACGACGUGCGCCGGCUUUUUGAGUCCUUCGGAAACAUUGAAGAGUGCACCAUCCUGAGGGGCCCUGACGGCAACAGCAAAGGUUGUGCCUUUGUGAAGUACUCCUCCCACGCAGAGGCCCAGGCUGCUAUCAGCGCCCUGCACGGCAGCCAGACCAUGCCGGAUAUCUCAGCUGACAGCGUAGUCUCGUUCCCGGUGGUGUGGCAGGGACAGCAAUACAUCAGACACUUAUACACACAAGAUGACUAUUACAAGGGCGCCUCCUCCAGUCUGGUGGUGAAGUUCGCAGACACAGACAAGGAGCGCACUAUCAGGAGGAUGCAGCAGAUGGCAGGACAGAUGGGAAUGUUCAACCCUAUGGCCAUCCAGUUCGGGGCUUACGGAGCCUACGCCCAGGCACUGAUGCAGCAGCAGGCCGCGCUCAUGGCCUCCGUCACGCAGGGCGGAUACCUCAACCCUAUGGCCGCCUUCGCCGCUGCUCAGAUGCAGCAGAUGGCAACGCUGAACGUCAACGGGCUGCCAGGAGGACCCAUGACACCCACCUCAGGAGGCAGCACACCUCCCGGGAUCACAGCACCCGCCGUUCCCAGUAUUCCCUCUGCCAUCGGAGUCAACGGCUUCACUGGCCUCCCGCCACAAGCCAACGGGCAGCCCACUGCCGAGGCCGUGUUCGCCAACGGCAUCCACCCCUAUCCAGCCCAGAGCCCCACCACAGCGGAUCCCCUUCAGCAGGCCUACGCAGGAGUGCAGCAGUAUGCAGCAGCCUACCCUGCAGCGUACGGGCAGAUCAGCCAAGCAUUCCCCCAGGCUCCUCCCAUGAUGGCCCAGCAGCAGAGGGAAGGCCCAGAGGGCUGUAACCUGUUCAUCUACCACCUCCCCCAGGAGUUCGGAGACAGCGAGCUCAUGCAGAUGUUCCUGCCUUUCGGUAAUGUCAUCUCCUCGAAAGUGUUUGUGGAUCGGGCGACAAACCAAAGUAAAUGCUUUGGGUUUGUGAGUUUUGACAAUCCAGCCAGUGCCCAGGCUGCCAUCCAGUCUAUGAAUGGCUUUCAGAUUGGCAUGAAGAGACUCAAAGUGCAGCUCAAGAGGCCAAAAGAUGCCAAUCGCCCAUAUUAACCACGCGGGACAGCGUGCACCUGGCACCAGAUGAUAUAACAGAGCCAGUCAUUCUCAACAGUGUCUGAAUGCUGAGCUAGGAUAAAGUUCAUGGUAUUGAAAGCAGAGAGAAAAGAGCCCCCCUCAAACCUCCGACCAGAUUUUUGGAGUGGAAACGCAUGUACAAAAAAAUAAAUAAUAAUCAAACAAAAAAUAAUAAAAAGCGAUGAAGAAAACAAAAAGUACCGUUGGAUACUGCUUUUGGACAGAUCAGCAUAACGUCAAUCAGACUGAAGGAUCUGUCUCACACUUCCUGUUGUAUUGGAGUGUGAGAGGCUGUAUAUCUGCUUGGAAAUAAACAAUGUCCUUCUGCUUAGUUUUCAAUGCAUUGCAGCGUGCCGAGCAGAACAUGAAGGACAAGGAUGAUGAAACAAGACAAACAUUUCUUUUGAGGAAAGUGUGAAUUUGAAAAGACCUCGAGCUUUCAGAACACACAUGAAGCUGGAAAACAAAACAAAAAAAAACUAUGGAUCGCAUCGAGGAGUGCCUGUUUGUCAUCAAUGGAUAGCGUUGCCGUGGUGAUUCACAGCAGCAACAGUUACUAGGGAGUCUCAUUUGUCAUUCCUUAGCUAUUUUAGGGACCAAAGGACCAAACCAUUUUUAUUGCAGACUUGUAGCUGUAUAUGUAAUAUAUUGGAAGUUAACUUUGUUUCUCUUUACUGUUCCGUAAACAGUCUGAAGAGUUAUUAUAUAAAAAAGAAACUGUACAAAAAUGAUACAUAAAUACACACGCACACACACACACAAAUAUAUUGAUGAUAUGCUUUUUAAAAAUGGUAAAGUUAUACUUCUUUGAUACUAGCCAGGAGGGGAGGAGGCACUAUGAGAAUUGAGAUUAGAUUUCAAUCAGUUUUCGCGUGUUGGUCUCAGUGAGAAACUAGCUCCUCCCUUUACCAGGACAGGGGGAGGAUCGCAAGAAAACUAGUGCUUUACAAGAUUAAGGAUCUGAUUGUUUUUGAAAGGCUUUUUGGACCUCCCAUUUAAAAUCUUAUUACUGUCUGUACAGAAUCGAUACAAAACCUGAAAAAAAAAAUUAAAAAAAAUUAUAUAUAUAUAUAUAUAUAUAUAUAUAUA